ensembl:miRNA
GCACGGGCCGUCCUCCCCAACAAUAUCCUGGUGCUGAGUGAUGACACACGCAACUCCAGCAUCAGUGAUUUUGUUGAAGAGGGCAGCUGCCA